rnacentral:rRNA from 1 species
AUGAACGCUAGCUACAGGCUUAACACAUGCAAGUCGAGGGGCAGCAUGGUCUUAGCUUGCUAAGGCCGAUGGCGACCGGCGCACGGGUGAGUAACACGUAUCCAACCUGCCGUCUACUCUUGGACAGCCUUCUGAAAGGAAGAUUAAUACAAGAUGGCAUCAUGAGUCCGCAUGUUCACAUGAUUAAAGGUAUUCCGGUAGACGAUGGGGAUGCGUUCCAUUAGAUAGUAGGCGGGGUAACGGCCCACCUAGUCUUCGAUGGAUAGGGGUUCUGAGAGGAAGGUCCCCCACAUUGGAACUGAGACACGGUCCAAACUCCUACGGGAGGCAGCAGUGAGGAAUAUUGGUCAAUGGGCGAGAGCCUGAACCAGCCAAGUAGCGUGAAGGAUGACUGCCCUAUGGGUUGUAAACUUCUUUUAUAAAGGAAUAAAGUCGGGUAUGGAUACCCGUUUGCAUGUACUUUAUGAAUAAGGAUCGGCUAACUCCGUGCCAGCAGCCGCGGUAAUACGGAGGAUCCGAGCGUUAUCCGGAUUUAUUGGGUUUAAAGGGAGCGUAGAUGGAUGUUUAAGUCAGUUGUGAAAGUUUGCGGCUCAACCGUAAAAUUGCAGUUGAUACUGGAUAUCUUGAGUGCAGUUGAGGCAGGCGGAAUUCGUGGUGUAGCGGUGAAAUGCUUAGAUAUCACGAAGAACUCCGAUUGCGAAGGCAGCCUGCUAAGCUGCAACUGACAUUGAGGCUCGAAAGUGUGGGUAUCAAACAGGAUUAGAUACCCUGGUAGUCCACACGGUAAACGAUGAAUACUCGCUGUUUGCGAUAUACUGCAAGCGGCCAAGCGAAAGCGUUAAGUAUUCCACCUGGGGAGUACGCCGGCAACGGUGAAACUCAAAGGAAUUGACGGGGGCCCGCACAAGCGGAGGAACAUGUGGUUUAAUUCGAUGAUACGCGAGGAACCUUACCCGGGCUUAAAUUGCAGAUGAAUUACGGUGAAAGCCGUAAGCCGCAAGGCAUCUGUGAAGGUGCCGCAUGGUUGUCGUCAGCUCGUGCCGUGAGGUGUCGGCUUAAGUGCCAUAACGAGCGCAACCCUUGUUGUCAGUUACUAACAGGUUCCGCUGAGGACUCUGACAAGACUGCCAUCGUAAGAUGUGAGGAAGGUGGGGAUGACGUCAAAUCAGCACGGCCCUUACGUCCGGGGCUACACACGUGUUACAAUGGGGGGUACAGAGGGCCGCUACCACGCGAGUGGAUGCCAAUCCCCAAAACCUCUCUCAGUUCGGACUGGAGUCUGCAACCCGACUCCACGAAGCUGGAUUCGCUAGUAAUCGCGCAUCAGCCACGGCGCGGUGAAUACGUUCCCGGGCCUUGUACACACCGCCCGUCAAGCCAUGGGAGCCGGGGGUACCUGAAGUGCGUAACCGCGAGGAGCGCCCUAGGGUAAAACUGGUGACUGGGGCU